CAAUAGCGUAUAUUAAAGUUGUUGCGGUUAAAAAGCUCGUAGUUGGAUUUCUGUUGGGAACGACCGGUCCGCCCAUUGGGUGUGUAUCUGGCUUGUUCUCGGCAUCUUCUUGGUGAACGUUGCUGCACUUGACUGUGUGGAGCGCUACCCAGGACUUUUACUUUGAGGAAAUUAGAGUGUUUCAAGCAGGCAUAUGCCUUGAAUACAUUAGCAUGGAAUAAUAAGAUAGGACCUCGGUUCUAUUUUGUUGGUUUCUAGAGCUGAGGUAAUGAUUAAUAGGGAUAGUUGGGGCAUUCGUAUUUAACUGUCAGAGGUGAAAUUCUUGGGUUUGUUAAAGACGGACUACUGCGAAAGCAUUUGCCAAGGAUGUUUUCAUUGA
rnacentral:rRNA from 1 species